GAUUUAACGGCCGCGGUACUCUGACCGUGCGAAGGUAGCACAAUCACUUGUUCUUUAAAUGAGGACUAGAAUCAAUGGCGUCACGAGGGUUCCACUGUCUCCUUUUUCUAAUCAGUGAAAUUGAUUUCCCCGUGAAGAAGCGGGGAUAAUAAUAUAAGACGAGAAGACCCCAUGGAGCUUCAAACUCAACGAAUAACUCUACAACUUACUAGAUAUCUUAAGAGACCUAUCCGUUAGUUUUGGGUUGGGGUGACCACGGAGAACAACCUAACCUCCGUAAUGAAAAGAAUAAAAUCAUAAUCUAAGAGCUACACCUCUAAGAAUUAACAAAUUAACAUACAAUGAUCCAAUUUUAUUGAUCAAUGAACCAAGUUACCCUGGGGAUAACAGCGCUAUCCACUUCUAGAGUUCAUAUCGCCAAGUGGGUUUACGACCUCGAUGUUGGAUCAGGGUGUCCGAGUGGUGCAGCC
rnacentral:rRNA from 1 species